rnacentral:rRNA from 1 species
GACAGAGGUGGCAAGCGUUGCUCGGAGUUACUGGGCAUAAAGGGCGCGUAGGCGGUCGAGUGCGUCGGUGGUGAAAUCCCCGGGCUCAACCCGGGGACUGCCAUCGAUACGGCCCGACUUGAGUGCGGGAGGGGAGAGUGGAACUCCUGGUGGAGCGGUGAAAUGCGUAGAUAUCAGGAGGAACGCCGGUGGCGAAAGCGACUCUCUGGUCCGCAACUGACGCUGAGGCGCGAAAGCCAGGGGAGCAAACGGG